rnacentral:lncRNA from 1 species
GACGCAAAUCUAAUGUUUCCAUUUAUUGUGAACGAGUAAUUCAGGCGAAUGUCAUGUAAGUCGAAAGAAAUUCUAAACAAAAACAAAACCUUUCUUUCAUGAACCUUAAACAGUUGUCCAUGCAAUUCCACAGCUACCAAAUGUCCAUAGAGCCAAGGCUCGAGCUUUUGAAGGCUUCAAUGUCCAAAUCUGUUUGCAUAAAUGAGAGCCAAAGCAGUUCGACGAUGCCUUAUAGUAGAAUCACCUCGAGCCGACCAUAUUUGGGUCCCUUAGCUGGAACUUUGACUCUUACAAGAACAGGGGACUUGGAGAUUCCAUAUCUGAGUCUUAGGAAACUUAAGAUACAGCACCAACAAAGGUAUUCCCAACUCUGCCAUGCCCAUUUAUUUGGUCACUUGAGAACCAAACCAGAACCCAGUCUUGAAUGCAGGGUAGCGAUUUAAUGACCAUUUUGUAAUAAAUUAAAGUUUAAUAACUAAAAAAUAAUUUAAAUUAUACAUAAAUGAUUAUAAUAAAUUUAAAUUUAACAAAAAUUUAAUGAUGUUAACCAUUUGACUUGCAUUUUUUAAGUUUAAAAAAAUUAAAAAAAUGUGUUUGGUUUAAGAGAAGAUUCUCUCUUUUCAUGUUCAAAAAACAAGUUUCAUUUCUUAUUUUUCAAAAGUGAAAAAAUAUGUUUAAUAAAUGGAAAUAAAAAAUUGUUUUCAAUAAUGAAAAUCGUGAAAAAUGCAGUUGGUGCUUAUUUUAAAAAAUAAAAAUGAAAAAAAUAAUUAAAUUAAAUUAUAAUUUAUUUAAAAUUAUAAAAUAUAAUUAAAUAAAAAAAUUUAAAGUUAUAAAAAUAAAAAGUUGUUUUAAAAGAAUUUGAAUUUAGAUAAUUUUAAUGCAUAAAAUGAAGCUUAAAAUAAUUCCUAGUUUUCAACAUUUUCCAUUUUCCCAAAACAUUUUUUUAUUCUCUAAUUUCUACAUAUUUUUGUUUUUGUUUUUUAAAGAUCAUUUUCAAAAUUGUUAGGCGAACAUGUUUUUUUUCAUUAUUUUUUAAAAUAAAAGUUACGUUGUUCCUUGAAAUUAAACGCAUUUCUUAAAGUAAAAAGUAUAAAAAGUACAGAAUAUAGAACAUAUUUUAAGCUUAAUAAAAUAUAAUUUAGUUUUUUAAAAUAAUACAAAUAAUAACACGUGGUCUUAAAUGCAAUAAAGUGCAUGUCCCCAUCGUUUAAUCUACCUCACAUUGAAUCAAAAAAAUAUCUACAUAUUAACGUGCCCACUUUUUUUGCCAAUAAUUUAAUUUAUAUGUUUCCACGUUUUAAAGCAACCUUUAAAAAUAUAUUUUUAAUAUAUAUAAAAGGUUUUUUAAAAAUUGACCCAAUUUUUUAUUAAUUGCAAAAUGACUCAUUUUCAGAAUUAUGUAUGUAAAUGACCCGUUUGCUAUGGUGAAGCUCGGUGUCGUCGUUGCCUUUGGUGACACCAUCCCUAAUAAUUCCACAAUCAUUGGUCGGUUUUUUUUAAAAAAAUUCCUCAAGUGCCAUUGCUGACAUUGGCAGCACCAGUAUAUCUACAGGUACGUAUUAAAUGAGGUGUUUAUUAUGGUGGGCACAAGUUGAUGGCAAUGUAAGUGUGGUAGCGGUUCUAGUUAGCCAAUCGAAUAUUGUAUCACUACAAGCACCCUUGGGUUACAAGAUUUGUGAUAGACCCAAUUCAAGUAAAGUUAAAUAUUACAGGUGAAAAGUAUGGAAUUUUUUGGUCAUUUUCAUAAUUAAAUAAUUUAUUGUGGACUCAAAUCAAGCAAAGUUGAAUAUUAUGAGAUUCUUGAUGGACCUAAUUCAAGUAGAAGAUGAUGAAACCAGAGGAAGAAAAAGAUAAAAAAGAAAAGGGUGAAUUUUAGACCAUGUAGAAAAAAUUGAGACGGAGAUGAAAGAUAUGAAAUUUCAUUCCUACUUUUUUAAUAAAGAAUGCUCAAAUUUUAAGUAUGAUUUGGUUUCAUUAUUGAUUUGUUUAAGAAAUCUUUAGAUUUGUAUGAUACAAAAUUAUUUUACUUUGAGUUGAUGUAUGAUUUGUUUAAGUUAGUAAUUUUUUAAAUUUUCAAGUAUUUUUCAUUUAUUUGAUUUGAAUUAUGAAAAUUAAUAGUUAUUUGAAUAAUUUAUUAUCUAAAUAUUUUCUAUUUAAAUUAUUUAUGGCUAUAUAAUAAUGACAUUUUGGAAGCCAAGAAUGUUCUAUUAUGCUAGAUGAUUUUUUAUUGCACUUGUUUGUUUUGCAUCUAUUUAUUUGACAAGUAUAUAUAUAUAUGUUUUUAAUACAACAUGAUAAUAUGAAAUAAAAAUAUGAUAAAGAAGUUAGAUAUAUCCAUAACAAAGUCACAAUAAUUAAAAUAAAAUUAAAAUACAUAACUUCUGAGAAAAAAAAAAGAGAGAAAUAAAAUUGAAAAAAAAAAUUUCGUAAUUAAGAAAAAAAUUGGUCACUUUAAAAAAAAAAGUGAAAAAAAAGCUGACACGUGUGUCCCAACGCGCUACCGUCAGGUGUUGCCUGUUUGAUACAUGCGUCAACCUAUUUUUAUUUUUCUUUCCUUCCUUCCUUCCCUCUAUUUUUUUUUCUUUAUUUCUUUUCUCCCUUUUCUUCCUCUCUCUCACUGUUCCCACCUAAAAAUUGUCCACCAAAAUUUUUCUUGGUCCCCCAAUAGAAUUGUAAUUCGAAGUUGAAUUUUUUUUUGAAAUUUUUUUAUAAACAUCAGAAAAUCAGAAUUUGUUUGUGUUGGUUUUUUGAUUUUAAGGUCUGUUAAUUUGGUUUUAAUUGGUUUAAUUUAAUCAAUGUUUUUAAUUUGAUUUGUUUUAUUAUUGAAUUUCAUUUAUGUUUCAUAUGAUGAUUUUAUUUAUUUAUAUUCUUGUAUAUAUAGUUAAUUUGACUUAUAUUUUUGCAUGAUUUAUUGCGAUUAUUUUAUUUAGUUGUUGGGAAAAAUAUUAUAAACUUAUUUUAAAAUAUAGAACUCCAUUGAUGGUUGGUCAUUGUGUUUUUUUCAAUUACUAAGAAAAAUAGUAUAAAACUUAUUUACAGACUUUAUUAAACAAAAUUUCACUAUAGUGUAAUGGUAAGAUAUGGAACUACAAAUCUCAAGUUUAAAAGUUAAGCAACUUCAAUUAUUAUCUUGAAAUGGGAAAAUUAAGUAGUUGCAAUGAAAAGAAAAUAAGUGGGAAUAAUUUGUCAUAAAAGCAAGAAAAUAUUGCCAUUGUUUAAAAAUUAAUUUGCACUUCAUUGAUUGUUUAAAAAUUACGUAGAUAUACAAUCUGCUCUCCUUGCACAUUUUUGUCUACUGUGUCUAGUAGGGUUUUGUUUCUUUUAGAGUUUCAGUUUGUUUUUGUGGUUUUUUUACUAAGAUUUGGGUGGAGCCGUUUAGAUUAAUCACUUGAUUUCUUUAAACUUGAGGACUUUUGGCUGGACGAUAUAGGGGAACGAAAAGAGGUUUUGCUGCGCAUCAUUGGACGAUGAGGAAGAGAAGGUUGUUCAGGUGUAGAGAGAGCCAGAUCCGGUUUCUACGGAAGAGGAUUUUUGUUUGGUCAAGUGUUUUUUAACAACAAGUGUUAUCCACUUUCCAGCUAUGAGAAGCACAAUGGCUAAUCUCUGGCAUCUAGUUAAAAAGGGUCCAAAUUUCAAAUUUGGGUGAGAAAAGAUUUUUGUUUAGAUUUUUUCAUAGAAUGGAUCUUGAAAGGGUGCUGAAAUGAUCUCCAUAGACUUUUAACAGUCAUUUAUAGUUGGUUCAUUUUUUGGAGGAAGGGGAGGAUCCGCUGAAGGUGCCUCUAAUCUUUGCAAAUUUUUAGGUCCAAAUUCAUGAUGUGCCUCAAGGAUAUUUCUCUAAGGCGAUGGCGAGACAAAUGGCGAACUUUAUUCGGAAGUUAUUAGAAUAUGAUGGUGCAAAUCUAGGUAAAGGAGUGUGAAAUUACCUUCGAAUAAUGAUUCAAUUGGACGUGAGAUGCCUUUGGAGAAGGAAGAAAAAGGGUUUAGUUUCAUAUUGGGUUUGUUUGUAUGUCAGUUUUAAAUAUGAAUGGUUAACUUUGUUCUGUUUCUUUUGUGGCUGACAAGGUCAUGGCGAUUCUUUUUGUCAAGUGAAGAUGGAUCUAAGGUUUGAAGUAGCUGAGAUAAGAUGGGACCUUUCAUUAAGAGCUCAACCUAGAAGAUCUCUCGCGAUGAAUAGUGUAUGGUUGAGGGGAGAGGGGGUAGAGACAAAAUAGAGGUAUAGUUACGAAGGGGCCGAAUUGACUAUAGCGAAAUGUUAGGAGGAAGUGUGGUUUUCUAAAUGGAAUUGAUAUUGAAGUGGAUAGUUCGAGAGGAGGUUUAUGCUUGGCAUGGAAGGAUAAUACAAAUAUUUGUUUAAAAAGUUUUUUAUCUUAUCACAUUAAUGUCGUAUUGAAGGAAAAUACUGAUGAAAAGGAAUGUAGGUUUACGGGAUUUUAUGGCUCCCCUUAUGUUCAAAAUAGAGGAGCUACUUGGGGCACAUUGAGAAACCUGAAUCAACUUUAAGGUUUACCUUGGAUGGUUUGUGUAGAUUUUAACGAGAUUCUUUAUUCUUUUGAGAAGGUGGGUGGCGCACCAAGAGAAAAAAGGAGGAUGGAGGAGUUUAGGGAUGUUUUAGAGGAGUGUCAAUUGAUGGAUAUUGGUUUCUUAGGUACUAGGUUUACAUGGGAAAGAGGGAAUGGCUAAUAUUCGUGAAAGGCUUGAUAGAGGAGUGGCAUAUAUGGAAUGGAUGAAUAUGUCUCCAUCAGUAGUAUUUCACCAUUUUUCGCAUUUUUUUCUGACCAUUGUCCCAUCCUACUUGAUACAGAUAUAGAAUCGAAGAUCAUGUCCAGAAGGGUAUUUAGAUUUGAGGCGUGGUGGGUGAAGGAAGAAAGUUGUGUGGAUGAGAUCAGACGGUUAUGGCAACUAGGUAGAGGUGAUAUUUUAGAAAAACUAAAACUUUUACAGAGUGGGCUCAUGAGAUAGGUAGCUGAAAUUAGACGAAAGUGGGAAGUGUGAAAGACGAAAUUGAUAGAAAAAAUAGAGUUUCUUUUAGAUCAAUAUAAAAUUGAUGAAAGUAUGGCUGAAUUGAUUUAUACUAGAGUACAUCUUAAUUUGGAGAUUAAUAAAGAUGAAAUGUUUUAAAAGCAAAGGGCUAAGGUAAACUGGUUGAAAUUAGAAGACAAAAAUACGACUUUUUUUCUUAAUUAUGCCUCACAGAGAAUGAGAAGGAAUACCAUUCACAGUUUAAAAUACGAUGACGAAAGAGAAACUUACGAUAAUGAGUUGGAGGAAAUUGUAAAGAGUUAUUUCCAAAAUCUUUUUCAUCAAAUGGCUAUGGGGAUACUGAGCAUAUCCUUACUGAGAUUGAAAGAUGUAUUUUUAAGGAAGAAAAUUUGAUGUUGAUAAAGAAUUAUACGAAUGAGGAGGUUGUGGUGGCUCUCAAUAAGAUGGGUUCUACGAAGGCAUCGAGAGAGGAUGGUUUUUCGACUUUAUUCUUUCAACAAUUUUGGCAUAUUGUAGGGACGAGGUUACAAAUUAUUGCUUGGGGAUUUUAAACAAAGGUAAGCUUGUGGACCGUUUUAAUUUUACUAAUAUUGUACUUAUACAUAAAGUCUCUAAUCCAGUGAACUUAGAAAAUUUUAGAGCCAUUAGUUUAUGCAAUGUCCUAUAUAAAAUAGUAGCAAAAAAUAACGAAUCAAUCCAAAAGCAUCAUAGGCAAUUGCAUUGAUGGUACCUAAAGUGUUUUUGUGAUGGAUAGAUUAAUUUUGGAUAAUGUGCCCCUUGCAUAUGAGAUUCUUCAUACCUUUAGAUAAAAAAGAGUUAGGAAGAAAGGUUUUAUGAAACUUAAGUUAGACAUGAGCAAAGUGCAUGGUAGGGUGGAAUGGAAUUUCCUAAAAGUUUUGAUGUUAAAAAUGGGAUUUCAUACUUUGUGAGUGGAAAAUAUAAUGAAGUGUGUCACUUUGGUCUCAUAUUUAGUAAUAAUUAAUGGGAGAAAUUGUCAGACUUUUAAACUGGCGAGAGGAAUUAGACAAAGGGACACUCUUAUUCUCUUAUUAUUUCUUAUUUGUAGUGAGAGACUUUCAACGCUUAUAAGGAUGGCUUUGAGGGAAGGGUCAAUUAAAGGAGAUAAGACAAGUAGAUAGGGUCUAUUAGUUUCUCAUUUAUUGUUUACGGAUGACAGUAUUUUGUUUGGAGAAGCUAGUGAGAGGGGCGCACAAGUUUUGAAAUCAAACCUAAGGAAAUACGAAAGAUGCUCAGGGCAAAGCGUCAAUUACGACAAAUCAACGAUUUUUUUUAUAGUACCAACACUUUAAAAGAAUUCAGGAGAGUUGUUUCCAAUAUUCUUGGGGUGAGAAAUUCAAGUAAUAUGGAAAGAUAUCUUAGUUUACCGAAUGUUGUAGGGAAAAAUAAAAAAGAUUCUUUUCAGCUCUUAAAGGAUAGCAUGAGGCAACGGAUUGAAAAUUGGAAUGUUAGAUUUCUUUUUCAAGAAGGUAAGGAAGUGUUUAUUAAAGUUGUUUUACAGGCUAUACCUACUUACACUAUAUCUUAUUUUUUACUUCCAAAAUCUUUAUGUGUGGAAUUGGACAGCAUAAUGGCUCAAUUUUAGUGGCAAAAAAGACAAGGGCGAAAAGGGAUCUAUAACGCCCUAAAAAUGUAAAUCUUGUAAUUACACAUAUUGUGACACAAGUUGCAUGUUUGCUUUAAUGGCUAAAAGUGUUUUGGGUGUGUUUGAGAUUAUUAGAGAAGCCUGGGUUUUAGUUUUAGCUUUUCAAAAUUUUUGGUUUUUCCCUUGAAUGAAUCUAGACAGUAGCAUGUAGACCUUAUAAAUAAUUGUAGUUGAAAUAUGACACAAAUGAGCUUGUGGUACUGUGGUAAGUGGCGUGUGGUAGUCGCUGGAGGUCUGAGGUUCAAGUCAUGGCAAUGUAAAAGAGUAUUUUACUACUCUUACCGUGUAAGAAGCAUAUGUUGUUUGAAACUCUGUUGAGUGGAGUUUGACUUGGUCAGGGAGUGUUAUGUGGAGGGAAUCAAGGAGAGGAUUAUGGAGAGAUUUUGGGAGGAAAAAGGGGAGUUUGAGGGUGUAUGGGUUUGUGCUGAAUUUGUUAAGGGGAAACUCAUGGUUUCGGCUUUGGAGGGGUGUGUUUUCGCUUCGACAAUUGAGAGCAUUUUGGGGGUGUUUUUGGAUUUGUUUUGUUCUUCUUGUCUUUCUCUUUUCUCUGCUUUUUGUGCUACUUUGGGUCCCUUUUUGGUCAAUAAUUGUUAGCUGAUUUCUUGUGCAACUUAUUCUUUCUUUUUCUCUUUUUGCAAUUGUAGCUGAAGUCACUUGAGUCCAUUUGGGCAGUUUUGUGUUGGCUCUUUACUUUUCUGCUUCUUUUCAAGUGCCUUUUCUUGAAAUGAUUUCUUUUUCCCUCUGAUUCUUGAUAUUAUUUCUUCCUAGCAUUUUAUUUCUUAUUUGGCCGAAUAUCUACUUCCCACUCUUUUCCAAUUCUGGCCGAAUGCUAUAGGCCUCACAGGUACCAAGCCGAAUACUGCGUUCCUUAACUACUCUCUGACAACUGGCCAACUAUUCCAUCAUCCUUCCAUAUCUAUCGGUUGAUUUUGGAGUAAAGGGUUCUCAAGUGAUUCAAGAUCCUCCUUUCGGCAUUCAAUAUAAUAUUUGGGGGUAAGUUGGCUUGUUUGGCCGAAUGUUUCUAUAGUUUUUAAGUGUUGGGGGUUUUAAGUCUUAUUUUUGGUAAACAAUCCUGUCUAAUAAGUUUCAUUGCUAAAGCAAAUAAUCGGUAAGGACGUGAGAUCGAUUCUUAAUUAGCGAUCUAAGGGCAAUAAGCUAUUUUCGUUCGUUCAAGGUGAUUAGUGAGUGACUAUUUGGGUUUUAGUAUUAAGAAUUCUAACUAUUGGAAAACUGACAGUAAAUCUUGAAUGAAUGUAGGCUUUGGCAUGGUGGGCUAUUCACUCGAUUUCGCAAUUAGAUGUGUACUCUCACCACCUAUAUUGUAAAUUGGCAAAAGCCGAAAAGUUAAAAAAUACAGCGAUUAAGGCCACAUGGGCGUGCAAUCGCUCACGUGGUGAAACGAGCCCACAAAACAUGGGUGUUAGACUGUAGAGGCCGCCACGUGUAUUCUCAUGGGUUUCUGGGCUACGAUGGGCCCAAAUGGACUAUAUAAGCCCAAUGGGCUUGUAGGCUCCACAUGGAUAAAUGCCACAAUAUAUGGUAAUUACUGGACUGGGCUGUGUAGUUCACAUGGUCGUGGUAAUUUUUAGGCUUGAUGGACCACACGGGCGUGUGGACCUACUUCGGCCGCAUAUUAGGCCUUGGGCCCAUUUACACUGUUAGGGCCGUUAAGGUUGCAUGAGUCGCUCAAGGAAAUUGUAGACCUUCUAAUGGGUCGAUGAGAGAGGUACCCCAAGGCAGGUAAAAUGACUAAAAUACCUCUAUAGGGUAAAAUGACUAUUUUGCCCCUCGAGGGUAAAUAACUGAUUGUGCUAUGAUUUGACAGUUCUUUCUGAGCAUGACAUUCUGCAUUUACGUAUGAUGUGAAGACCUGACAUAUUGCAUAGGGUUGGGAUAUUGUUUAUGGAGGAAGUAUACUGUACUAUUAGCUUUUAGCCUUUAUACUGAUUACUGGCAGCUUUGCUGCAAUUCCGUUAUAGGCAGCUUUGCUGCGAUACUAAUUAGUGCAGCAACCAGUGCUAAUUUUGGUAUGUUUGGUUGGGCAGGUCGAUUUUGUCCUCACAUGGUGUGAUUGGUGGUACGGAGUGGUGUGUCUGGCUGGCUUGGGGUAGGUUUCACUAUUGCAUUACUGCAUUGAUACUGUUACUGUAAUGGGCUCAAGCCCAAACUGUUACUGCGUACUGUAUUUUGACUGUUAGAUAGGGGAUUACACAUUGAGUUUUUCAUAAACUCACCAUUCUUUUUAACUGUGCAGGUAAUCCCUAGCUUUAGAGAAUUUGGUUCUGUGAUGGACCCAGAGAUGGCCACAUGACCGUAGUUAUGCUAUGCAUGAUUUUACUUUUAUCUGAAUUUUCAUUUUGGGUUUUUUAAUUAUGUUAUAAGGCCUUUUAUGGAUUUAAAAUUUAAUUGGUCAUUUGCUUGCUUACUUUAAACUGCUAAUCUAGGGGAAGACGAGUUUUCAAAAUAUCAAUUGUUUACAAAGACACGAUUUAACCUUCAAAAUUUUGAAAAGCUUUUGCGUUUAAAUCAAUGUAAUAAAAUAAUGGAAAUCUAAUAUGACUAAUGUUUUGACUAACUGACUGGAUAAUGACAAGGAAUUUAAUAUACUAAAGUUUUUAUCAAACCAUAAAAAGAUUUUAACUAUUCAAACAAGUCUUUACCAGCAGAAUUCAUAUUUUUGAAAAGCAGUGUAAUGUGACACGUCAGAUUCGGCCAUAACGUCUGGGUCGAGUUUAAGGUGUUACAAGAUCCAUUGGUACAGUUGGGAACAACUUUGCGAUCUUAAGGAGAAUGGGGUAAAGGAUUCUGGAGUUUAUCCAAAUUUAAUGUUGCAUUCUUAGCUAAACAAGGUUGGCGCAUUCUUAAUAAUCCAGAUUCAAUAUUAACGAUAGUUCUAAAAACAAAAUACUUUCCAAAUACAAAUUUUCUUAAUUCUGAGUUAGGAAGGCUACUUUCGUUUACUUAGAAGAGUAUAUGGGUUGCUAAAGGAUUGUUGAUGAAUGAGAUUUGUUGGAGAGGGGAACUGGUAAGAAUAUUUCAAUUACUGGUUAUGCGUGGCUCCCUGGUACUGAAAGUUACAAAGUAGAAUCAAUUAGGAACUCUAGUGAUCUAAGUAAAGCGGCAGAGCUUAUUGAUGAACAAAAGAUAGAAUGGAAGUCUAGAGAAGAUGCAGACAUAAUUGUUCGAAUUCCUUUAGCAAUGGAACCUCAUGAGGACUUCAUGGUAUGGAAGGGGGAGGCCUCGGGAGAAUUCUCGGUAAGAAGUGCUUAUAAACUAUUAUAGGGCUUUAUUCUUAAUUAUUUACAGACCGAGGCUAAUUUAUUUUACAAAAAAUUAUGGAAUAUUCACGUUCCAGGGAAAUUAAAAAUCCUAAUUUGGAAAAUUUCUUGAAAUUUUAUUCCCCAUUUUGUUAAUCUGCUUUCGAUGGUAGUCUGCCCUAGAUGUGGUGCAGCUGCUGAAAAGACUGACCGUAUCUUCAGAGAAUGCCCUGUGACGCAAAAAGUUUGGAUUAGCUUGAAUCUGGAUUGGGUGUUAACAGAUUUGCUUUUGUCACACGGGGAAUGGCUUAUCUGGGUGUUCAAGAACAGUUCCAACAUUCAAUGUUGAGUAUUUUGCUACUCUUUAUGGGUGAUCUGGAUGGCUAGAAACAAAAGAUUACAUGAGGGAAAAAAAGUACGGGUCCAGAAAUUGCUGCAUGGAUAAACAAAUAUAUUAAGGAAUUGGAGGGGUGUGAAAUAUGGAUUUUACCAUGAGGCAUGAAUAUGUGGGUUGGUGCCCAACAGAUGGUUUUGCUGUCAAAACUAAUUUCGACACCGCUUUUGAUAUCUCUUGGGGGUGGUGGCUAGAAAUGCUUCGGGGGAGGUACUCGUCUUCAAAAUAAAGAUCUAUGGGGAGAUGGCCUCUUCAUUUACAGCAGAGGCCCUUGCAAGCCUCCAAGCAAUAUUUAUGGGAAAACAGAUGGGAUUCACAUCAAUUAUCAUCGAAAGAGACUCAGUAUCAGUAAUAAAAAAAGUAACUCAGAGAAGAUUGAUAAAUCGGUGAUUGAGGGUAUAAUACGAGACAUUUAGCAAAAAACAAUUCUUUUCACCAAAUAACCUUUCAAUAUACAAACAGAUCUGCAAAUAUUAUGGCUCACAACUUAGCUAGAAAUGCAAUGAAAGAAGAAUCGAGAACAUACCUGAUCGGAAGGAUCCCUGAGCAAGACACAUUGGAGGUGGAUCGGCGGAGAAGAAGGGAACCUGAUUGAGGGAUGUUUGAUAGGGGGUCUCUACGUAAGAAGAAAAAAGAAAAGUAGAAUAAUGGUUGGGUUUUGGAAAUUGCUUUUCUGGGGACUGGAAUCGGUGCAUUAAAUGCGAAAAUGCUGAUUGGAUUCUAGCUGCUAUCAGACUGGAUGUCUCCUUUUAAUUUCUAUCUUUUCAUUCGUCUUUUCUUUGGGAACCGAUU